rnacentral:lncRNA from 1 species
AUGUUUUUCUGAUAAAUUAUGUGCAUUUGACAUAGCAUGACACACUUUUCCCUCUGCUAUUCUUUUUCUUCAAGAAUUAAAACCCUAACUCUCACUCUCUCCCUCUCGUUCACUACCCAAAAGCCCCAUAUCCUCUCCAUAUUUUCUCAACCCUAGCCACCUUCAACCUUGUCUUUGCUCUGCAAGUUCAUCAAGUCCAAACCAUAACACUAAACAUCCUCCACCAUGCCCACCUUCCCCUUCAAAUCGAUGAGCGGCUGGCAUCCACACCGCCACCAUGGCGGUGGCAGCGAUAAGACAGAAAGAUGAACGGUGUGACAGGACCGACGGCAGAUUCUCACAUCGGCGGCGUGGGGGUGGUGUCGGGUGGCGGCUUGAGUGAGAGAGUGAGACGGGAGAGAGUUAUGAGGGACGACGAGGCGCCGACGGCAGCGCCGCCGUGAGCGGCGGCGGACCUGCUUCCUCCGACAAGCUGAAUCUUGAAGAUGAUGAUGUCCGGUCACAGGUUCGGGUCAACAGUCAACGAUUUUGGUUCGGGUUCGCGACUCAGUUCGGUGUCGGGUCAGACACACGACUCCGGUGAGUGCUUCUUUUUCUCGUUUCGAGUAAAUGCAUUGAUUGAAGCCGGUUUCUAAACUAUUGUUUCUUUUUACCUUGGUGGUUAUUAUGGUCGCUUUAUUUCGAGUUCGGGUCCGUGAAGGUGGUUCAAGCUUCAGAUCGGUACAUGUUCAUGCUCGGGGUUAAGUUUGGCUCAAGUUUAGUCAACAAAAGUCAGAUCUGAUUUGGUUUAACUCGGGUUGACUCGGUCAAACCGAGUCAACUCAGUGUUCGG